rnacentral:rRNA from 1 species
AGGGUUUGAUCCUGGCUCAGAACGUACGCUGGCGGCACGCCUAAUACAUGCAAGUCGAACGAAGUAGCAAUACUUAGUGGCAGACGGGUGAGUAAUAUGUAGGUAUCUUCCCAUUGGUGAGGAAUAACACGAGGAAACUUGUGCUAAUACCUCAUAAGUCUUUACGGAGAAAGCUUUAUGCGCCGAUGGAUGAGCCUGCACUUGAUUAGUUUGUUGGUAGGGUAAUGGCCUACCAAGACAAUGAUCAAUAGCUGAUUUGAGAGGAUGAUCAGCCACAUUGGGACUGAGACACGGCCCAAACUCCUACGGGAGGCAGCAGUAGGGAAUCUUGCACAAUGGGGGAAACCCUGAUGCAGCGAUGCCGCGUGAGUGAAGAAGGCCUUUGGGUUGUAAAGCUCUUUCGUCGGGGAAGAAAAUGACUGUACCCGAAUAAGAAGGUCCGGCUAACUUCGUGCCAGCAGCCGCGGUAAUACGAAGGGACCUAGCGUAGUUCGGAAUUACUGGGCUUAAAGAGUUCGUAGGUGGUUAAAAAAGUUGGUGGUGAAAUCCCAGAGCUUAACUCUGGAACUGCCAUCAAAACUUUUUAGCUAGAGUAUGAUAGAGGAAAGCAGAAUUUCUAGUGUAGAGGUGAAAUUCGUAGAUAUUAGAAAGAAUACCGAUUGCGAAGGCAGCUUUCUGGAUCAUUACUGACACUGAGGAACGAAAGCAUGGGUAGCGAAGAGGAUUAGAUACCCUCGUAGUCCAUGCCGUAAACGAUGUGUGUUAGACGUUGGAAAUUUAUUUUCUGUGUCGCAGCGAAAGCAAUAAACACACCGCCUGGGGAGUACGACCGCAAGGUUAAAACUCAAAUGAAUUGACGGGGACCCGCACAAGUAGUGGAGCAUGUGGUUUAAUUCGAAGAUACGCGCAGAACCUUACCAACACUUGACAUGUUCGUCGCGACUUUAAGAGAUUAAAGUUUUCGGUUCGGCCGGACGAAACACAGGUGCUGCAUGGCUGUCGUCAGCUCGUGUCGUGAGAUGUUGGGUUAAGUCCCGCAACGAGCGCAACCCUCACUUUUAGUUGCCAUCAUUUAGUUGGGCACUCUGAAAGAACUGCCAGUGAUAAGCUGGAGGAAGGUGGGGAUGACGUCAAGUCCUCAUGGCCCUUACGUGUUGGGCUACACACGUGCUACAAUGGCAUUUACAAUAGGAAGCAAGACGGCGACGUUUAGCAAAUCCUAAAAAAAUGCCUCAGUUCGGAUUGUACUCUGCAACUCGAGUACAUGAAGCUGGAAUUACUAGUAAUCGCGGAUCAGCGCGCCGCGGUGAAUACGUUCCCGGGUCUUGUACACACCGCCCGUCACACCAUGGGAGUUGGUUCUACCUUAAGGCAAAGUUUAAUACCUUUGACCACGGUAUAGUCAGCGACUGGGGUGAAGUCAUAACAAGGUAGCCG